rnacentral:rRNA from 1 species
UACGUAGGUGACAAGCGUUGUCCGGAUUUACUGGGCGUAAAGAGCGCGCAGGCGGUCGAUCAAGUCGAGUGUGAAAGCCCCCGGCUCAACUGGGGAGGGUCAUUCGAUACUGAUCGACUCGAAGGCAGGAGAGGGUAGUGGAAUUCCCGGUGUAGCGGUGAAAUGCGUAGAUAUCGUAAGGAAGACCAGUGGCGAAGGCGGGUCUCUGGACAGUUCCUGACGCUGAGGCACGAAGGCCAGGGGAGCAAACGGG